GGGCCUGUGGUGUAGCAUGGAUAUCACUGGGGCCUCCGGAGCCCCAAUCCCGGGUUCAAAUCCCGGCAGGCCCG
rnacentral:tRNA from 1 species